UUUACAUUAUUUUUUGUCGCCCUAAUUUUUGGAGAGUAAAACGACUACCUACUUUUGAUUUUCAAAUGGCAUUUUAAAUUAAAAAUUCCAUAAAUAGAUGGAAUGGUAGUUAAAAUAAAUAUUAAUGUUUAAAUUUGUGAUUUCCGUAAAUCCGUUAACGAGAUAUUCUUCUUUUAAUUUUGAGUCGGGAAAGAGUAGUGGAGCAUUAUUUAUGUGGCGGCACAGCGAGCGGCGUUUUAAGGUUGUACCACUACUCUCGCCAAACCGAAACUUACAAGUGGAAUAUUUCGAUUGACGGAAAUUAAAAAUUUAAACACCAACAUUUAUUUUCACAUUUAAGGAAAUUAAAAGUUAUAUAUAGAAAUUUAAAUUUAGGUUGCCAUUUGAAUAUCAAAAGUAGGUAGUCGUUUCACCCUCAAAAAUUAGGGAGACAAAUAUAAUGUGAAUGUUAAUUUUAGAACAGCUUGUUGUUUCUUAAAUAUUCUUUAAAACAAAUUUUUCAAAAAAGUUAAUGCUUUCCAAGAUAAUGAGUAUCUUACGAUAGAUUGACCCUGUAUAAUAUUUAAAUAUUUUUUCCAUGUACAAAAUAACCCGGAACCUAAUUAAAAAGUAAAAAUAAACUUUGAAGGACUACAUCCUCGUUUCCUCCCUUUUAUAAGCAUUAAUGUAAAUUAAAAGUAUAGAUAUGACUUAAAAAAUAUAAAUCUGGGUGUUUUGAUACUAAUUUCGAGUCGUUCGGAGAAAACAACAGUGCUGGGUCAUUUUGGAUUUUUGUGGGUUCCGGAAAAACGAAGAAGUAACAAAAUCUGAAAAUGGCGUAUUAAAAUUUAGCAAAAUCGUACCUACGAGUAUUUUGAUACUAAUUUGAAGUCAAUCGGAGAAAGUGCCGGUGUUGGGUCAUUUUGGAUUUCUGUGGAUUCUGGAAAAACGAAGAAGUUACAAAAUUUAUCAAAAUCGGUACGAGUGUUUUGAUACUAAUUUCGAGUCAUUCGGAGAAAAUGUCAGUGCUGGACCAUAUCUGAUGAUCACGUGGUCGAUAUCAAUCUGGCCUAUUUGUUUCCCGUUUUGUAGUAGAAACAACUUAAUUGCAUAAAUUAAAAAUGCAUUAGCAAAAUGUAGCAAAAUCGUACUAGUGUUUUGAUACUAAUUUUAAGUCAAUCGGAGAAAGUGCUGGGGUGCUUGGUCAUUUUGGAUUUUGGUGGAUUUUGGAAAAACGAAGAAGUAACAAAAUUAAAAAAUGCCGUAGCAAAAUCAUGACCUCAUUUUUGAAGUUGUAGUAAAAUGUAGUAAAACCUACAUAUUUUUAGCACUAAAAUAUUAGAUUACAAUCAUAAUAGAAAGUAAUGAACUAUAAAAUAUAAUCAUAAAUUAAAUUAUAAACUAGUUUAAUUAUAAUGGAUUUUUCUUCGACAAUAUUCAUCGUUUAAUUUUAAAAUGAUGAAUAUUGUUAACUGAACAUG